CUGGUUUUGAACAACAGAGAGUACGAAGUUCAUUAUCAACAACAGAUUAUUUAUCCAUUCUACAAAAGUAUUUGUACAAAGGGGCGUGCGGUGUUAACACUGAUUCAAUACAAGAGAACCUGCAUUGUUGGAGCGUUUUCAAUUGAUGAUUCAAAGUGAAGAAUUUUGACAUCCAACAGGUUUAUCACAACUGAUUAGCGUGAUCCAAACUUAAUCAAACGGAAAUCGAAAUGGGAAACAUUGUUUGGAACUUGUGCCGCAUUAUCCUCCUGGUUGUAACAAUUCAGCUACAACCCGCUAUGACGCUUUACGAAGACCUCAGCAGCCUAUGUUUGAGACCAAUAGGAUCCGAACAUUUUAAAACUCUGAUACCAAACAUAUCAUACAGAGCGACACCUUACCCAUAUGUGACAAAAGACACCAAUAUAACAUUGGAAUGUACCGGCUCGGUCAAGAUUAACUCCCCAAACCAAGGAUAUAUGACAAGGGUG